rnacentral:sRNA from 1 species
ACUCUCCAGUGAAGCUACGACAGUAAGACCUUCUGUUUCAGCUGAAAAAGGAGGUCGGGACCGCAGCUCAUGAAAAGGACAAGACAUUUCAAAGAAAGUAUUAAAUUCAUUCAUGAGUGCCGGCUCCGCGGUGAGAGCUGCCUUGUACACUGCCUGGCCGGGGUCUCCAGGAGCGUGACACUGGUGAUCGCAUACAUCAUGACCGUCACUGACUUUGGCUGGGAGGAUGCCCUGCACACCGUGCGUGCUGGGAGAUCCUGUGCCAACCCCAACGUGGGCUUCCAGAGACAGCUCCAGGAGUUUGAGAAGCAUGAGGUCCAUCAGUAUCGGCAGUGGCUGAAGGAAGAAUAUGGAGAGAGCCCUUUGCAGGAUGCAGAAGAAGCCAAAAACAUUCUGGCCGCUCCAGGAAUUCUGAAGUUCUGGGCCUUUCUCAGAAGACUGUAAUGUACCUGAAGUUUCUGAAAUAUUGCAAACCCACAGAGUUUAGGCUGGUGCUGCCAAAAA